GAGCAUUGUUACAUUUAUUUCAUGUCACUUUAGUUGAUAUUAUUAUAACAAUGCUAGAUGAAUAUCUGGGACAUCCAAGGUAUGCAUAUUGUUUUUGUGUCUACCAUUUCAGCCCAGUUACAUUU